GAUUAAGUUAUUAAGGGCGCACGGUGGAUGCCUUGGCACUAGAAGCCGAUGAAGGACGUUACUAACGACGAUAUGCUUUGGGGAGCUGUAAGUAAGCUUUGAUCCAGAGAUUUCCGAAUGGGGAAACCCAGCAUGAGUUAUGUCAUGUUAUCGAUAUGUGAAUACAUAGCAUAUCAGAAGGCACACCCGGAGAACUGAAACAUCUUAGUACCCGGAGGAAGAGAAAGAAAAUUCGAUUCCCUUAGUAGCGGCGAGCGAAACGGGAAGAGCCCAAACCAAAAAGCUUGCUUGUUGGGGUUGUAGGACACUCUAUACGGAGUUACAAAGGACGACAUUAGACGAAUCAUCUGGAAAGAUGAAUCAAAGAAGGUAAUAAUCCUGUAG
rnacentral:rRNA from 1 species